GACGAACGCUGGCGGCGUGCUUAACACAUGCAAGUCGAACGGAAAGGCCCUGCUUUUGUGGGGUGCUCGAGUGGCGAACGGGUGAGUAACACGUGAGUAACCUGCCCUUGACUUUGGGAGAACUUCAGGUAACUGGGGCUAAUACCGGAUAGGAGCUCCUGCUGCAUGGUGGGGGUUGGAAAGUUUCGGCGGUUGGGGAUGGACUCGCGGCUUAUCAGCUUGUUGGUGGGGUAGUGGCUUACCAAGGCUUUGACGGGUAGCCGGCCUGAGAGGGUGACCGGCGACAUUGGGACUGCGAUACGGCCCAGACUGCUACGGGAGGCAGCAGUGGGGAAUAUUGCACAAUGGGCCGAAGCCUGAUGCAGCAGCGCCGCGUGCGGGAUGCCGGCCUUCGGGUUGUAAACCGCUUCCGCCUGUGACGCAGCGUGAGUGACGGUAAUGGGUAAAGAAGCACCGGCUAACUACGUG
rnacentral:rRNA from 1 species